CACCAGAAGUGGCAUAGUCAUGCUGGCCACAUGACCCGGAAGCUGUACGCCGGCUCCCUUGGCCAAUAAAGCGAGAUGAGCGUCGCAACCCCAGAGUCGUCUGCGACUGGACCCAACGAUCAGGGGUCCCUUUACCUUUACCUUUACCCUAUCUUUUCUCAGUCUCCUCUUUUCCAGGCCAAACAUUCCCAACUCUCUCAACUGUUCCUCAUAAGGCUUGGUCUCCAGACCUCUGAUCAUCUUGGUUGCCCUCCUCUGCAAAUGUUCCAGCUUGUCAAUAUCCUUCUUAAAUUGUGGUGCCCAGAACUGGACACAGUAUUACAGGUGUGGUCUGACCAAGGCAGGAUAGAGCAAUCCUAUUACCUCCCUUAACCUGGAGACUGCACUUCUGUUGAUGCAGCCUAGAAUAGCAUUAUCUUUCUUUUCUGUUCAGUGGUAGAACAACUGCUUUGCACACAGGUGAUUUCAGUCUCCUGCGUCUCCAGUUAGAGAGCUACUGGCAGUCAGUGCAAACAGUAUUGAGUGGUCUGGGUCGGUAUAACACAACUUCCUACAUUCCCAGCAUUUGAUCUUAGGUUUGAUUUCCCAUGGCUGGGCUUGAAAGCUGCAUUGUGCAAAUGACUAUUAUUGGUACUAUGCCAUCCAUACAUGAUAUCUUAACAGAAGUACCAUGGCAGGCUGUUGCUCCCAAGGAUCUGGCAAUUUCAAAUAGGUGGCAGGGAAGCUUGAAGAUAGGCUUAGUGAUGGGGAAAUGUGGGCAGAUAUCGUUGCAUGUAUUGUUUGGUUUCCAUAUUAUGAGUUCACCACAAGUUGCUUUCUGGCAGGCCAGCCUUGUUUUGUCCAUCAAGCCCAGUAUUGUUGUACUCUGACUAACAGCAGCUCUCUAGGGCAAAUUUGUGGGUUGGACUCCAUCAACCUCUGUAGCCGGAUAUAAUGGGAGUUGUAGUACAGCGACAUCUGAACUACAAAUGCCACUUCAACUCUAGGGUCUCCAGCAAAGGGAUUUCCUAUUGCCAGUUAAAAGGAUCAGGUAGGAAUUGAACCUGACAUUAUGAAUACAAAACAUGAAAUCUAUCACUGAGCUUUUGCCAUCUGGCUUCCUUUUAUGCCCACUACCACACACCAAGUAAAGCUGAAAUUUAGGCCCCAGGCUUCCAGGUAAACACCUGAUCAGAGAUUUGAAAGGGAUUUUCUGGCAGUAUAGUGUGCAAACUAACGACCUUCGUUUCUUUUUGCGUUUAUGCUCUCGGUGAACGCAGCGCUUUGCAAAAGUAUGAGAUGAGAGGUCCCUGUCCCAAAGUGUCUCGCAGUCUUAAAAAUUUGACACAGGCGAAGGAGAGGGAAAUGGGAGACUGAGUAAACAGGGCGAAUUACGCUUGGGGAGCAAUCCUAUGCACAGCACCCGAUCCAAAGCCCAUUCAGUAGCAGGACUGCUGCUGCUGCUGCUUUGCCUAAGCCUGGCAGAGGGAAAACAAGCCUUUAAAAUAUUGUUGCCAGCGGAGAAUCCAGCUUAAGUCCUGGCCCUGGAAUGCCCCUUUUGCGGGGCUUAAACAGCCUCGGCUCAGCCAUCUUCAAUGGGCCGGGCCCCAGCUGAGCUGGGAUAAGCAAAUUUGCAGGUGUAUCUUCAUUUGAGCUGGGGUUGAGGACUUCAUGCCAGCUGAACGAGGGAUCCACUUCAUCCUAGGCUGUUCACCUUGGCAGAUCUUGGCAUCUGAUUGCCCCCCUAGCAGUGGGAUUUCGGGAGGUUAAGGGGUCAUAAAAAAGGAUUCUCUGAGGAGUGUCUAUUUUAUACCUCCUUAUCUGUUUGUUCCUUUAUCCCUCUCAUCUGCCUUCUUCAUUCUCAUUGUUUGUUGUACUAAGGGGUGUGUGUAUAUAUAGUACAUAGGAUUGCAGUGAUACAGUAGCUUAUAUUAUAGACAUUUGGUGUAUCCCAGGACAAAUACUUCAUGCUGUAGCAGUGUAUGGAUUAGAUCAAAAUUGUAAGCUUCAUUGCAGUUUUUAACAACUUGGAUUGAUGGUGGGUUGUUUUUUGUGUGUGUGUAUUUUGGCAAUAUUUGCCACUGUUUUUAUUUAGUAUGCUUAUAUACUGCUCCCCCCCCCACAAGUGAUUUCAAAACAAUUUACAUGAAAAAAAUAAAUCUAUCAUCAUUACAAAUCACAGAAGCUUAAGGUAACAAUUGUUGAACAUUGCAUAUGUGUGUGUGUUUGUAUGUGUGUAUAACAUAACAAAUAUAGUUUUAAAUAAAUAUAAUUUUAUAUAAUUUAGUAAAAGCUUAAUUAUAAUUUUUAUUUCUUAAGGCUCUUUUUUCAUUGUUUUUUUUUAUUAAAAAAAUACCGAUUUACCCCAUUCUUGGAAAAGGCAGACAUGGAUUUCAAAGGCAUUUUUCUGAUUUUGCUCACUUUAUUGAUUAAAAUGUAAUUAAAAAAAAUUUUUUUUAAGCCCUUACAAUUUGAGAGGUGUUGGUGGGGGUGGGGGAGUUUGGCAAUUAAUAAAACUGUUUGUUAAAAGUGUGACAUGAAGUCUUUUUUUUUUUUUUAAAAGGAGAGCCUUACUGGAGGUAAAGAAGUCAAAAUACAGUAGAGGCUUUCAGCUCUUUUUAAAUGGUGUUUAAAUACACACACGCGUACAUAAAGAUGCUGUGCUGAAAGAAAUGCAGUGUGUGCUGGGGGUUGCUGUGUCAAUUGGAUAAACAUCUGGAACAGUGACCCACUGAUGAAGUCUGUGUUUUGAUUUUGUUUGUGAGUGUGUGGUGGACGUGAGCGACCCACAAUGUUUAGGGUGUUAAUUGUGCCACUUACAUGAAUUUGUCUGCUGUACAAAUUUUUCCUUUCUGGGAAGUUCUCCCUUAAAUUUCGGGUGCUGCUGAAAUGAGCCGUUCUCCAUACCUACUGGUAAUC
rnacentral:lncRNA from 1 species